UGUGCUCGGGCAAGUUUUACUUCUCCCUAGUGCAGGCGUGUUUGCCAGCAGCCUGCGCUCUCAGAAUCAGACUUGAGUGGCCAGAACCCUUGAGAUCGGACGCUUACCAUGCUGUUCCCUAGGAGGGCCAGGCACUGCUGAUGUUACCACUGGACAGCCUCUUACGGUUACCCAACACAAUGGACAAGCUUAAUAAAAUAACUGUCCCUGCCAGUCAGAAGCUGAGGCAGCUUCAAAAGAUGGUCCAUGACAUUAAGAACAAUGAAGGUGGAAUAAUGAACAAAAUCAAAAAGUUAAAAGUCAAAGCUCCUCCAAGUGUUCCUCGAAGGGACUAUGCUUCAGAGAGCCCUGCGGAUGAAGUGGAGCAGUGGUCAGAUGAUUUUGACAGUGACUAUGAAAACCCAGACGAGCACUCGGACUCAGAGAUGUAUGUGAUGCCCGCCGAGGAGAACACUGAUGACAGCUAUGAGCCACCUCCCGCCGAGCAGGAGACCAGGACGGUUCAUCCCGCCUUGCCCUUCACCAGGGGCGAGUAUGUAGACAAUCGAUCAAGCCAGAGACAGUCUCCACCUUUCAGCAAGACCCUUCCCAGCAAGCCUACCUGGCCCUCAGCCAAAGCGAGGCUCAUCUCCACCCUGCCAGCGCCGACUUCUCUGCAGAAACCUCAAGUCCCACCCAAACCCAGAGGCCUCCCUGAGGAUGAGGCGGAUUAUGUAGUUCCUGUGGAAGAUGAUGAUGAAAACUAUAUUCAUCCCACAGAAAGCAGUUCACCCCCACCUGAAAAAGCUCCUGCUGUGAAUAGAUCUAUCAAGCCACACACCUCCUCAAAGCCGACCUCUCCUCCCGGAACAGUUUCAGGUCGAAACAGUGGGGCCUGGGAAACGAAGUCAUCUUCUUCACCUGCUGCGCCAUCCCCACUGCCGAGGGCUGGGAAAAAGCCAGCUAUCCCACUGAAGACAACUCCAGUUGACUCUCAACAGAAAGCCUCAAGCAUUUGCGAAGAGAAACCUAUCCCUGCUGAACGCCACCGAGGGUCUAGUCACAGACUAGAAGCUGCACAGUCGCCAGUGUUUCCUCCUGCCCAGAAACACAUCCACCAAAAACCCAUCCCUCUGCCAAGGUUUCCAGAAGGAGGAAGCCCAACCGUGGAUGGGCCGUCACCCAGCUUUUCACCUAAUUCCACUAUUUCAGAACAGGAAGCUGAUGUUCACUGUAAGCCAUGGUAUGCUGGUGCCUGCGACCGAAAGUCUGCUGAAGAGGCAUUACACAGAUCAAACAAGGAUGGAUCAUUUCUUAUUCGAAAAAGCUCUGGCCAUGAUUCCAAACAGCCAUAUACACUAGUUGUAUUCUUUAAUAAGCGUGUAUAUAAUAUCCCUGUGCGAUUUAUUGAAGCAACAAAACAGUAUGCAUUGGGCAGAAAGAAAAAUGGUGAAGAGUACUUUGGAAGUGUUGCUGAAAUCAUCAGGAACCACCAACACAGUCCCCUGGUUCUUAUUGACAGUCAGAAUAACACAAAAGAUUCCACAAGACUGAAAUACGCAGUUAAAGUUUCAUAAAGAAAAAAAAAAAGAGGUCAAGUUUCUCCUCUUGAGAAAAAGCCCCCAGACUUCAUCUUUUGGAUUAGGAAUUCUCCAGUCGUCAUAGAAAGGUGGAGGCAGCUCCCGAGGUGUUUGUCCAAUGGACUUCUGCUUCCUACUGCCUGAUCUGAUGAACUGUUAGUAUCUGGUAGCAUUGCGUGGGACCCACUAAAACACCUGCCUCCCAGGAGUGCUCUUGGCACAUCGUGGCUGUGUUUAACCACAAGGUGGAGGGAGUG